rnacentral:tRNA from 1 species
GGCAUAGCUCAGUGGUAGAGUGCAUGCCUAGCAUGCAGGAGGUCCUGGGUUCAAUCCCCAGUACUGCCA